UCCUUUCAGACUUUCUUCUCUCCUUCGCCUGCAAAAAGACCCUAAACUUGCCUUCCAACUCUUCCUCAACCCUAACCCAAAUGAUCCUAACCCAAGUCCCAAGCCCUUCCGCUACUCUCGUCUGUCCUACGAUCUCAUUAUCUCAAAGUUGGGUAGAGCCAAAAUGUUUGAUGAAUUAGAACAAAUAAUCCAGAAAUUAAGACAGGACACUCGAAUAAUCCCGAAAGAGAUAAUUUUUUGUAACAUUAUUACAUUUUACGGCAGAGCUCGUUUGCCCCAAAAAGCCCUCCAGAUGUUUGAUGAAAUUCCAUCUUUUCGUUGCCAAAGAACAAUCAACUCGGUGAAUUCUUUGUUAAAUAGUCUGUCAAUUUGCAGGGAAUUUGAGAAAAUGAGGGAAGUUUUUGUGGGUGUUGAGAAGUACGCUUGCCCGGAUGCUUGUACGUAUGGUAUACUCAUUAAAGCUUGCUGCAGGCAAGGGGAUUUGGGUAAUGCGUUGAAUUUGUUUGAUGGAAUGCUUAAGAGAGGUAUUGUGCCGAGUGUGGUGACAUUUGGGACUUUGAUUAAUGGGUUCUGUGCGAAUGCACACUUAGAUGAUGCUUUUAGAUUGAAGAGAAUGAUGGAGAGGGACUUCAAAUUGAAGCCUAAUGCAUUUGUGUAUGUUGUGUUGCUUAAAGGGCUUUGCAAGAGUAAUGCGGUUGAUUCCGCUAUUAAGCUUAAGAAGGAGAUGAUGAGGAAAAAGGUGGAAUUGGAUUCCACAGUGUAUGCUACCUUGAUUUCUGCACUAUUCAAGGUUGGUCGUCGGGAGGAUGUUUUUGGAUUGUUAGAUGAAAUGAGAAUAAAUAACUGCACAAUGAACACAGCGACAUACAAUGCAAUGAUACAUGGAUACUGUAUGGAGGAGGACUUCGAUUCUGCAUUUGGAAUAUUAAAUGAGAUGGAAGCAAAGGGGUGUAAGCCAGAUGUAAUUAGUUACAAUGUGAUUAUUGGUGGGCUUUGCAUGGCAGGGAAGCUAAAAGAAGCUAACGAGUUAUUUGAAGAUAUGCCGAGAAGGAAGUGCUUUCCGGAUGUGGUGACUUAUAGGGAACUCUUUGAUGGCCUUUGUGAUGGAAUGCAAUUGAAGGAAGCAGCACUUAUUUUGGAUGAGAUGGUCUUCAAAGGUUAUCUUCCUCACUCUUCAAGUAUAUGUAAAUUAGUUGAUGGGUUAAUUCGAGGAGAGGAUACAGAUAGGCUGUGGAAGGUUUUAAGUAGUUUGGUGAAGGGAAAGUUUUCUGAUAUAACCACAUGGAGCAUGGUGAUAUCUGUGGUGUUGAAAAAAGAUAGGCUGUCAAACACCUGCCAGUUUAUUGAUUCUUUGUUAAAAGGAACAGAUGAUGCUCUUUCAGUCCUUUAGAGUUGGUUGUGUACAGUAUUUGUGAUUGACCAUCAAGCUCUAAUGGAUUUAUUGACUGCCCAAACUUUCAGCCCAUGUCUUCAAAGGAGAAGAUGCUGGAGGUUGUCAAAUUUGGAUUCUUCACUUGACAGGAACUUCUCAAGUUUCUCCCUUUUCUAAUGUUUUCUGAUAUUCCAAGCAAUCUAUCUCCCCAGUUCUGCUUCUUACUCGCAUUAGUUUAUGCAUACAACUCAAGCUUAGUCUGCAAGAUUAAAUGUUUGCAACAGAAUUAAAUGUGUCUAUCUCCAGCAAUGUAGUCGAUCCAGAAGCAGCUGGGCUUAGCACUUCUGCUCGUAUAACUUCAUACUGAAGCUCAUCCAGAGAUGCUGCGUUGUUUCCUUUGAAGAUAAAGGCAGCAACAACAUAACCAUAGGCCUUGUGACACUUUGGAAGGGUGUGGAAUUCUCUUGUGACAGGAUUUCAUAUGACAUGAUUGUAGUCGAUCCAGAGGCAGCAGCGUUUAGCACUUUUGCUUGUAUAACUUCAUAUUGAACCUCAUCCAGAGAUGCAGAGUCGUUUUUUUGGCAGAUAAAGGCAACAGCAACAUAGCCGUAGGCCUUGUGAGGCCUUGGAAGGGUGCAGAAUUCUCCCAACAUACACCAGCGUUUCAGGAGUGUCUAUCGUAAGGCAACAGCAACAUACACCAGCGCUUCAGAAGUGUAUAUCCAAAGUUCUAUUUGUCAGUAAUUAGAAUUAAUCAGUAUGUUUUUGAAUUUUCGAUAUUCUGUAAAUUGUUUGAGAUUCUUUCCUUGCUAAUGAUUGUUUUGAAAAGAUGUAUUAAUCUCUGUAGAUCCCCUGCUAGAAGAGCACUAAAAUCUGAUUUCUCCAGCAAAUGUAACAUUGAAACAUCAAAUUAACUUAUCCAUAAGCAGUUUUUUAUUUUUCAUA